CUACGGGAGGCACCAGUGGGGAACAUUGCACAAUGGGCGAAAGCCUGAUGCAGCAACGCCGCGUGAGUGAAGAAGGCCUUCGGGUCGUAAAACUCUGUCCUAAGGGAAGAAUAAUGACGGUACCUUAGGAGGAAGCCCCGGCUAACUACGUGCCAGCAGCCGCGGUAAUACGUAGGGGGCAAGCGUUAUCCGGAAUCACUGGGCGUAAAGGGUGCGUGGGCGGCCAAAUAAGCCAGAGGUGAAAGGCUACGGCUCAACCGUAGUAAGCCUUUGGAACUGUAUGGCUUGAGUGCAGGAGAGGAGAGUGGAAUUCCUAGUGUAGCGGUGAAAUGCGUAGAUAUUAGGAGGAACACCAGUGGCGAAGGCGACUCUCUGGACUGCAACUGACGCUGAGGCACGAAAGCGUGGGGAGCGAACAGGAUUAGAUACCCCUGUAGUC
rnacentral:rRNA from 1 species